rnacentral:piRNA from 1 species
UAUUAUCUGAAUUAUUUAUGAGCCUCAUCCU